CACAAUUGGAAUUUGAGCCGCCAUUCCUAUCCUGAGUCUUCUCCCCCCCCCAACCCUCCUUGCUUUCUCUGCAAAGGUCCUGGGACUUCCGGCUCGAGACAGCCCAGUGAAAUGUCCCUACAAGGAGGUGCUCACAGCAGCCUGUUUCUUCCAUCCCAGACCUUCCUAUGCCAUGUGAGUUAAAGGUCUCAAGAUUCACAUCUUAGAUCCACCUCACCCUAAAGGGCACAACUGUCACAAGUUCAGAAGUGACACACCUUCUUAAAACCAUGCCAGGUAUGCAGGAGGACUGGUCAAACGGAGGGGUGGACUCAACCAGCCACCGCAGCUCCCCAUUAUCUGAAGCAGCUAACAGGACCAGUGUUUGUUCCCAGACCUGGAAUAUAAUGGCUCGUGAUUCCUCAAUUAAAGGACACGUACGCAAUCAACUCGGUCUGAGAAGAGCCUUCAGCUUCAUGUCCAGAUGAAAGAGGAGGACAGACUUUUAAAUGGGAGAAUUCAUUGAAAGAGAAGAGUUUUCAGUGGCCA